AUUGAACGCUGGCGGCAGGCCUAACACAUGCAAGUCGAACGAGUGGCGGACGGGUGAGUAAUGUCUGGGAAACUGCCUGGUGGAGGGGGAUAACUACUGGAACCGGUAGCUAAUACCGCAUACCAUCGGAUGUGCCCAGAUGGGAGUAGCUAGUAGGUGGGGUAAAGGCUCACCUAGGCGACGAUCCCUAGCUGGUCUGAGAUGAUGACCGUCCACACUGGAGCUGAGACACGGUCCAGGCUCCUACGUGAGGAAGCAGUUGGGAAUAUUGCACAAUGGGCGCAAGCCUGAUGCAGCCAUGCAGCGUGUAAGAAGCAGGCCGUCGGGUUGUAAAGUACUUGCAGCGGGGAGGCGUUACCCGCAGAAGAAGCACCGGCUAACUCCGUGCCAGCCGCCGCGGUAAUUC
rnacentral:rRNA from 1 species